rnacentral:misc_RNA from 1 species
GUAGGUGAACCUGCGGAAGGAUCAUUACUGAGAGAGGGGCUUCGUGCUCCCGGGGGUCUCGGCCCCCAACUCUUCACCCAUUGUGUACACUACCUUUGUUGCUUUGGCGGGCCCCGAGGACCUCUCGCGCCGCAUACAGGGCGGCGAGCGCCCGCCAGAGGCCCAUUAAAAUCUGUUUAUCAAUGAUAUCCGAGCGAAAACACAAUCAAAACUUUCAACAACGGAUCUCUUGGUUCCAGCAUCGAUGAAG